rnacentral:piRNA from 1 species
UCUGAUAUCUCUAAUAGGUAA